rfam:Ovis aries breed Texel chromosome 13, whole genome shotgun sequence.
UCCCUGGUAGCUUAGCUGAUAAAGAAUCUGCCUGCAAUGCAGGAGACCUCGGUUCGAUUCCUGGGUCAGGGAG